rnacentral:rRNA from 1 species
CGGCGGACGGGUGAGUAACACGUGGGUCACCUGCCCAUAACACUGGGAUAACUCCGGGAAACCGGGGCUAAUACCGGAUAACAUUUUGAACCGCAUGGUUCAAAUUUGAAGGGCGGCUUCGGCUGUCUCUUAUGGAUGGACCCGCGUCGCUAUAUCUAUUUGGAGAGGUAGCGGCUCCCCAGGGCCACUAUGCGUACCCCACCUGAGAGGGUGAUCGCCCACUCUGGGACUGACACACGGCCCACACUCCUACGGGAGGCAGCAGUAGGGAAUCUUCCGCAGUGGACAAAAGUCUGACGGAACAACCCCGCGUGAGUGAUGAGGGUUUUCGGGUCGUAAAUCUCUUUUGUUAGGGAAAAACAAGUGCUACUUGAAUAAGCUGGCCCCUUGACGGCCCCUACCCAAAACCCCACGGAUAUCUACGUGCCAACACCCGCGGAUAUACAUAUGUGGCAAGCGUUAUCCAAAAUUAUUGGGCGUAGAGCGCGCGCGGGUGGUUUCUUAAGUCUGAUGUGAAAGCCCACGUCUCACCCGUGGAGGGUCUUUGGACUGUGGGACACUUGAGUGCAGAAGAAGAGAGUGAAAUUACGUGUGUAGCGGAGAAGUGCGUAGAUAUGUGGAAGAACACCAGUGGAGAGCGACACUCUCUGGUCUGUAUCUGACUCUGAGGCGCGAAAGCGUGGAGAGCAAACGAGAUUAUAUA